AUUGAACGCUGGCGGCAGGCCUAACACAUGCAAGUCGAACGGUAACAGGAAGAAGCUUGCUUCUUUGCUGACGAGUGGCGGACGGGUGAGUAAUGUCUGGGAAACUGCCUGAUGGAGGGGGAUAACUACUGGAAACGGUAGCUAAUACCGCAUAACGUCGCAAGACCAAAGAGGGGGACCUUCGGGCCUCUUGCCAUCGGAUGUGCCCAGAUGGGAUUAGCUAGUAGGUGGGGUAACGGCCCACCUAGGCGACGAUCCCUAGCUGGUCUGAGAGGAUAACCAGCCACACUGGAACUGAGACACGGUCCAGACUCCUACGGGAGGCAGCAGUGGGGAAUAUUGCACAAUGGGCGCAAGCCUGAUGCAGCCAUGCCGCGUGUAUGAAGAAGGCCUUCGGGUUGUAAAGUACUUUCAGCGGGGAGGAAGGGAGUAAAGUUAAUACCUUUGCUCAUUGACGUUACCCGCAGAAGAAGCACCGGCUAACUCCGUG
rnacentral:rRNA from 1 species